rnacentral:misc_RNA from 1 species
GACGGAUAAAAUUAAAUUCCUCAUUAAUUUGUCAGAAAAGAAAUUCCAUUGUUAUAAACCAAAAUUCAAUAAUUUAAUACAAAUUUAUAUAGCAAAGAAUAAGACCCUGAGUUAGGGUCAUACAAAGUAUAAUUCAGCAGAAGCUUGCUUAAAAAGGUCUUGUAGUUUUGCCAGUAGCCCUGCCACAGAGAAGGGCAUUCUUUGGAAUGGGAUAUUCAUCUCUAAUUGACUCUACAGGUGAGUAAACCCUCAGAUAAAAUUGUUGUCCCAGGUAUUGCCUUGCCCAAAAUUCAGUCCUCACAUUCCACAUUCCCACAUUAUCAAGUGCUAUAUAAAUAGCAGUCCAUGAUUUGGGAUAAACCUGUGUAGUGCAACGUGACACUGCAUCUCUAAGAUUGUAUUGAUCACGACUAGCUGGUGUCCAAACUCCUCCAUCCAUUCCGACUACCCAGAAGGAGUAUCCAUCGAGGUGCCAGCUCUGGACGAUAUUCUCAUGGUUCUGAAACACAAUCUCAACAAAGGCCCUGAAAUCAGCGCCCAUGACUGAAGUGUCAAGAUACAUCUUCCUGCCAAUUGGAUGAUCUGAGAUACUUCCAACCCGAAAAACGCCUCCAAUCUUGAAGUAGUCGGCAAGCUUAAGGGGAGUAUCAGCAGGGACGAAUGAUACACUGUUAACUGCAUACCUCUGCUUCCCAUUAACUUGAGCUGCUGAGCUCUCUAGCUUGAUUGUUCUGCUAAUGUUUAUUAGUCCAUAAUGAUAUGAUCCCUGAGGAUUUGGUCUUGGUCCACUUGCUGUCAAGUUUGUCCUGAUAGAGCGAGCUUGAUUAAGUGACCAAUCGAUCUGGGUGGUCGGUCCGCCAGGAAUUGGACCGGAGACUUUCUUGGCGGAGUUGCUAUAGUGAAGAAUGGCAGUGGUGGUGAGGACCCUGGUGGUGAAACGAGUUGAGACAGCAAUGUAGUAGUCUUGAGCUGGUUGAUCAGCUGUGACUAACACUGAAUAGGAUUGGCCUACAUGGACAUCCAAGGACGAAUAGGUUGUCUGCAUUGUAUGGGUCCCUUCGACUUCAACGAGCUUCAUCUUGUGGCCCUGAAUGCGAAAAUUGAGUGAAUGUUGAAGCCCCACAUUGGAUAUCCUAAGCCUGUAAGUUUUUCCUGGUUCGAGUGUGAAAGUUGUAGCAUUAGGUCCACGACCGUUGAUCAGAAUGCCAUCUGGGAAAGGAAGCCUGUGACCACGAUCUAAAAUGGCCUUCAAUUUCGUGUGGUUAGUCUUAUACCAAUCUCCAAUAAGAACAGUGAAAUCAUCAGCAGGGUCAGGGAAGGGGACUGGAAUUAAUGGCCUGCUAAGGAUCCUGAUACCCCCAAAGCCACCAGCUGCCUUGUGGAAUGCAAGAGAUGGGAAGUAGAAGAAGCUGCCAAUUUGAUCUUUCACUUGUAACGUGUAAGUGAAGUUCCUGCCUGGAGGAAUUGGACAAGUCGUUCCAUAUACUCCAUCUUGAUAUGAAUUUCUUCUCUGCUGAAUCCCACUCCACGAAAUAAGAAAAGGCUCCGGCAAGCUAUUAUGCACAUUAAUAAUAAGAUUGUUAUUGGUGACAGAGUAAAUAUCAGGCCCUGGAAAUUGUCCAUUAAUAAGAAUACCCUGCUGUUUUACGCCGAGUGGAUAAAUGUCGCCGUAAGUAACAUUCCAGUCGAAGAAUCUGUACGGAUCCUCGGCAAGAACAGUAAUGAAACUGCAAUGACAAAACAAACCAAGUAGAAGUAGCUGCCAACUUAUUAGAGCACUCAUCGCGAAGAUGAAGAGCUAGCUUGCACAAGUUUACAAGAAUUGGAGAUACGAUGCAGGAAAAAAAUGAAUAGAAAUAGAAGAGGAAGAGACACUUGAAAAUAUAAUGGAAGUGGUGAACAAUGGAUUUAUAUAUAGGUCUUGACUCAUU